AGAGUUUGAUCAUGGCUCAGGAUGAACGCUGGCGGCGUGCUUAACACAUGCAAGUCGAACGGAGUUAUAUUUUUGGAAGCUUCGGUGAAAGAGGAUAUAACUUAGUGGCGGACGGGUGAGUAACGCGUGGGUAACCUGCCGUAUACAGGGGGAUAACACCUGGAAACAGGUGCUAAUACCGCAUAAGCGCACGAUGUCGCAUGACGUUGUGUGAAAAGCCCUGGCGGUAUACGAUGGACCCGCGUCUGAUUAGCUAGUUGGUGGGGCAACGGCCUACCAAGGCGACGAUCAGUAGCCGGCCUGAGAGGGUGGACGGCCACAUUGGGACUGAGACACGGCCCAAACUCCUACGGGAGGCAGCAGUGGGGAAUAUUGCACAAUGGGGGAAACCCUGAUGCAGCGACGCCGCGUGAGUGAAGAAGUAUUUCGGUAUGUAAAGCUCUAUCAGCAGGGAAGAAAAUGACGGUACCUGACUAAGAAGCCCCGGCUAACUACGUGCCAGCAGCCGCGGUAAUACGUAGGGGGCAAGCGUUAUCCGGAUUUACUGGGUGUAAAGGGAGCGUAGACGGCUGGAUCAGUCUGAUGUGAAAGCCCGGGGCUCAACCCCGGGACUGCAUUGGAAACUGUCCGGCUAGAGUGCAGGAGAGGUAAGUGGAAUUCCUAGUGUAGCGGUGAAAUGCGUAGAUAUUAGGAGGAACACCAGUGGCGAAGGCGGCUUACUGGACUGUAACUGACGUUGAGGCUCGAAAGCGUGGGGAGCAAACAGGAUUAGAUACCCUGGUAGUCCACGCCGUAAACGAUGAUUACUAGGUGUUGGUGAGUAAGACUCAUCGGUGCCGUCGCACACGCAAUAAGUAAUCCA
rnacentral:rRNA from 1 species